rnacentral:lncRNA from 1 species
CUACGUUCACAGGGAGAGCCAGCAAAUCAAUCCACUAUAAAUCGGAGAAUUACAGGAUUACAAUCACACUCAUGCACUCAAGUGUUUCCCAGCCCUACUUUAUACCCGAUACCCACGGUGUUUAACAAAACAACUCAAUGGACUCAACUCAGCACAAAACCUCUAUGAGCUCUCUCGUCUCUCACACUCUCUCGAGCUCUUUCUUCUCGCUCUCUCUUGAGCUCUUUUCUGUUUUUGCUCUCUAUCGCAUCUUCAGACGUCUUCUCCUUAUAUAGGGAGAACGGCAGAGGACAAAGACAAAACAAAUGAAAAUAAAUGGCCUCAUUAAAUGCUGCAGCGCAGGCGCCCACAAGACAAGCCGCAAUCGGCACCGAACGCCCACCAUAUUUGUAGGCAUGCAUGCAGAUCAUGCAUGUGCAUGGGCAAGCAUUUAAUGAGGCGGCAGAGAUGAGGAAUAAUAGUCAGAAACGUGUGCCAUUGAUCCGUGAAAUGAGGUGGGCUGCAGUCUUCAAAUUUCUUGUUCUCGGAGAGAGGCAUGCGUAAAAGAAGUCUUCUUCAUGCGUCUUCUUCGUGCACUUGCAGCAGGUGGUGGGUCCAAUAUUUAAUGCAGAAGAUUGUGGACUUCCUCUUUCGGCAGAAGACAAUCUCUCUUCUCUGACUUUGCUUGCAUGCUUGAAGAAUAAAACCCCAUGCAGCUUUUGGCUUCUUCCUUCUACGCAUACGCACGAAGAGAUGGGAUUAAUGCCGGAACAA